GUUGAAGCACUUUCCCUUGAAUUUCUUCUUGGGUUGAUUGAUUCCUUGUUCAACUUUCUUCUUUUUCUUAGAAUUGUUUUGGUCAUCUUCUACAAUAUGUGCUUCAUUAAUUAUAAAAUUCCCUUUUGACCUUCUCUCGGAAGCCUUAUUAUCCUCUUUAAUACGCAGUCGGACAAUAAGAUCUUCAACAGUCAUCUCCUUGCGUUUGUGCUUCAAGUAGUUUUUGAAGUCUUUCCACAUAAGUGGUAGCUUCUCAAUGAU
rnacentral:lncRNA from 1 species